rnacentral:tRNA from 1 species
GGAUAUGUGACUCAGUGGUAGAGAACUUGACUAGUACUUGAGAGGCCCUAGGUUUAACUCCUAGCUCUA